rnacentral:lncRNA from 1 species
UUUCAAAAACUCGCUUAUUCAAAACAACUUAUUUAUACAAAACUGCUUAUUACGACCUCAUUUUCAAAAACCGCUUAGUCAAAAAUCGCUUAAUACAAUCUAUUUUUCAAAAACAACUUAUUCAAAAUAGCUUAUUUAUCCAAAACAGCUUAUUUAUGCAAAAUAACUUAUUUAUACAAAACAGUUUUGGAUAAAUAAGUUGUUUUUGAAAAAGGGGUCGUAAUAAGUUGUUUUGCAUAAAUAAGUUGUUUUGAAUAAGUUGUUUUUUAAAAUAGAGAUCGUAAUAAGCGGUUUUGCAUAAAUAAGCUGUUUUGAAUAAGUUAUUUUUUGAAAAGAGGACGUAAUAAGUUGUUUUGCAUAAAUAAGUUGUUUUGAAUAAGAGGUUUUUGAAAAUGAGGUCGUAAUAAGCAGUUUUGUAUAAAUAAGUUGUUUUGAAUAAGCGAUUUUUGAAAAUGAGGUCGUAAUAAGCUGUUUUGAAUAAGCUGUUUUUGAAAAUG